UAGGGAAUCUUCGGCAAUGGACGAAAGUCUGACCGAGCAACGCCGCGUGAGUGAAGAAGGUUUUCGGAUCGUAAAACUCUGUUGUUAGAGAAGAACAAGGACGUUAGUAACUGAACGUCCCCUGACGGUAUCUAACCAGAAAGCCACGGCUAACUACGUGCCAGCAGCCGCGGUAAUACGUAGGUGGCAAGCGUUGUCCGGAUUUAUUGGGCGUAAAGCGAGCGCAGGCGGUUUCUUAAGUCUGAUGUGAAAGCCCCCGGCUCAACCGGGGAGGGUCAUUGGAAACUGGGAGACUUGAGUGCAGAAGAGGAGGGUGGAAUUCCAUGUGUAGCGGUGAAAUGCGUAGAUAUAUGGAGGAACACCAGUGGCGAAGGCGGCUCUCUGGUCUGUAACUGACGCUGAGGCUAGAAAGCGUGGGGAGCAAACAGG
rnacentral:rRNA from 1 species